CAGUAUAAAACGGAACUGUGCUUAAAAUAUCUUUGGAAUACGCGUACAUCUCGCAUUAUUGAAGUUACACCAGAUUGGUUCCUACUGCCGAGAAUAUGAAGUUGUUAUUAUUAUUACUAUUUAUACUGUUAAUUUCUUUGGUGAGUUGUGGAAAACAGCCUGCGGCAAAUAAUUUCCAGGUCGGCAGUAAGACAACCAGUAGGAGGUACACAGAUAUAUACAAAGGAAUUUCUGGCAACAAACCGAAUGAAAAACUGAGUUGAAGGACCAAAAGGACUGAGUUCAUACAUACAUAUGAGAGUGAAUACGACAGUUAAUCGGAAUAUAGUAUUCACAGAUACAUGUGUGGAAUUAUUAAACAAUAUUUAGCUUGAAAUAAAAUUAUGAUAGUGAUGCGAACCAUA